GUGUCAGCAGCCGCGGUAAUACGUAGGUGGCAAGCGUUGUCCGGAUUUACUGGGCGUAAAGGAUGUGUAGGCGGAUAUUUAAGUGAGAUGUGAAAUCCCCGGGCUUAACUUGGGGGCUGCAUUUCAAACUGGAUGUCUAGAGUGCAGGAGAGGAAAGCAGAAUUCCUAGUGUAGUGGUGAAAUGCGUAGAGAUUAGGAAGAACACCAGUGGGGAAGGCGGCUUUCUGGACUGUAACUGACGCUGAGGCACGAAAGCGUGGGUAGCAAACAGGAUUAGAUACCCUGGUAGUCCACGCCGUAAACGAUGAGUACUAGGUGUAGGAGGUAUCGACCCCUUCUGUGCCGCAGUAAACGCAAUAAGUACUCCGCCUGGGAAGUACGAUCGCAAGAUUAAAACUCAAAUGAAUUGACGG
rnacentral:rRNA from 1 species